GACGAACGCUGGCGGCGUGCUUAACACAUGCAAGUCGAACGGAAAGGCCCUGCUUUUGUGGGGUGCUCGAGUGGCGAGCGGGUGAGUAACACGUGAGUAACCUGCCCUUGACUUUGGGAUAACUUCAGGAAACUGGGGCUAAUACCGGAUAGGAGCUCCUGCUGCAUGGUGGGGGUUGGAAAGUUUCGGCGGUUGGGGAUGGACUCGCGGCUUAUCAGCUUGUUGGUGGGGUAGUGGCUUACCAAGGCUUUGACGGGUAGCCGGCCUGAGAGGGUGACCGGCCUCAUUGGGACUGAGAUACGGCCCAGACUCCUACGGGAGGCAGCAGUGGGGAAUAUUGCACAAUGGGCGGAAGCCUGAUGCAGCAACGCCGCGUGCGGGAUGACGGCCUUCGGGUUGUAAACCGCUUUCGCCUGUGACGAAGCGUGAGUGACGGUAAUGGGUAAAGAAGCACCGGCUAACUACGUG
rnacentral:rRNA from 1 species